rnacentral:tRNA from 1 species
AGCCCGAUAGUGUAGUGGUCAAGCAUUUGGGACUCUGAAUCCUUAGACCCAGGUUCGAAUCCUGGUCGGGCUA